rnacentral:misc_RNA from 1 species
AAGUCGUAACAAGGUUUCCGUAGGUGAACCUGCGGAAGGAUCAUUAACACGUAUCCAAACGUUAAAACCCCCCCCGUGAACCUUCAUCCUGCUCUUGUAACCCGCGUAGUUCGCAAUCUCUGAUAAAUCAUAGCCCGGAAAGUUGUAGUGAUUCAGAGACCUCUGGCUACGUGCGAACAUUGGAACAGUUACAAUCGAGCGGUAGUUCUAUAGGCAAUGUUUCCCCAAGCAGUCAGUGUCGGAAAGUGUCAUUGAUUGUGCAGGAGCUUUGCCAAAGGGUCCCCAUGCCCCCUAAUAACCCCACAGUUUAAUGUGAAGCUCAAUGUAAUACAUUGGGUAAAAAAACCGAACAACUGUUAACAAUGGAUAUCUUGGUUCUC